ACCAGAUACCAGGGACUAUGAUACCAGGGACUUUGAUAACAGAUACCAGGGACUAUGAUAACAGAUACCAGGGGAUAUGAUACCAGGGACUAUGAUAACAGGGACGAUGAUAACAGAUACCAGGGACUAUGAUACCAGGGACUAUGGUAUCAGGGAGUAUGAUACCAGGACUAUGAUACCAGAUACCAGGGACUAUGAUACCAGGGACUAUGAUACCAGAUACCAGGGACUAUGAUACCAGAUACCAGGGACUAUGAUAACAGAUACCAGGGACGAUGAUAACAGAUACCAGGGACGAUGAUAACAGAUACCAGGGACGAUGAUAACAGAUACCAGGGACUAUUAUACCAGAUACCAGGGACUAUUAUACCAGAUACCAGGGACUAUGAUACCAAAUACCAGUGACUGUGAUACAAGAUACCAGGGACUAUGAUACCAGGGACGAUGAUAACAUAUACCAGGGACGAUGAUACCAGGGACGAUGAUAACAGAUACCAGGGACUAUGAUACCAGGGACUAUGAUACCAGAUACCAGGGGACUAUGAUACCAGGGACGAUGAUAACAGAUACCAGGGACUAUGAUACCAGAUACCAGGGACUAUGAUACCAGGGACGAUAAUAACAGAUACCAGGGACGAUGGUACCAGGGACUAUGAUAACAGAUACCAGGGACUAUGAUACCAGAUACCAGGGACUAUGGUAUCAGGGACUAUGAUACCAGAUACCAGGGACUAUGAUACCAGAUACCAGGAACUAUGAUACCAGAUACCAGGGACUAUGAUACCAGGGACUAUGAUACCAGAUACCAGGGACUAUGAUAACAGAUACCAGGGACUAUGAUACCAGGGACUAUGAUAACAGAUACCAGGGACUGUGAUACAAGAUACCAGGGACUAUGAUACCAGGGACGAUGAUAACAUAUACCAGGGACAAUGAUACCAGGGACGAUGAUACCAGAUACCAGGGACUAUGAUACCAGAUACCAGGGACUGUGAUACAAGAUACCAGGGACUAUGAUACCAGGGACGAUGAUAACAUAUACCAGGGACGAUGAUACCAGGGACGAGGAUAACAGAUACCAGGGACUAUGAUAACAGGGACGAUGAUAACAGAUACCAGGGGCUAUGAUACCAGGGAUGAUGAUAACAGAUACCAGGGACUAUGAUACCAGGGACUAUUAUACCAGAUACCAGGACAUAUGAUACCAGGGACUAUGAUACCAGAUACCAGGGACUAUGAUACCAGGGACGAUGAUACCAGAUACCAGGGACUAUGAUACCAGGGACUAUUAUACCAGAUACCAGGGACUGUGAUAACAGAUACCAGGGACUAUGAUAACAGAUACCAGGGACUAUGAUACCAGAUACCAGGGACUGUGAUACAAGAUACCAGGGACUAUGAUACCAGGGACGAUGAUAACAUAUACCAGGGACGAUGAUACCAGGGACGAUGGUAUCAGGGACUAUGAUACCAGAUACCAUGAUAACAGAUACCAGGGACUAUGAUACCAGAUACCAGGGACUGUGAUACAAGAUACCAGGGACUAUGAUACCAGGGACGAUGAUAACAUAUACCAGGGACUAUGAUACCAGGGACGAUGAUAAGAUACCAGGGACUAUGAUACCAGAUACCAGGGACUAUGAUACCAGAUACCAGGGACGAUGAUAACAUAUACCAGGGACUAUGAUACCAGAUACCGGGGACUGUGAUACAAGAUAUCAGGGACUAUGAUAACAUAUACCAGGGACUAUGAUACCAGGGACGAUGAUAACAGAUACCAGGGACUAUGAUACCAGGGACUGUGAUACAAGAUACCAGGGACUGUGAUACAAGAUACCAGGGACGAUGAUAACAGAUACCAGGGACUAUGAUACCAGGGACUAUUAUACCAUAUACCAGGGACUGUGGUAUCAGGGACUAUGAUAACAGAUACCUGGGACUAUGAUACCAGGGACGAUGAUAACAGAUACCAGGGACUAUGAUACCAGAUUCCAGGGACUGUGAUACAAGAUACCAGGGACUAUGAUACCAGGGACGAUGAUAACAGAUACCAGGGACUAUGAUACCAGGGACUAUUAUACCAAAUACCAGGGACUGUGAUACACGAUACCAAGGACGAGGAUACCAGGGACUAUGAUCAGCUAGUUUUAAAAAAACAUGUAAUUGAUUGAUAUCAUGACAAUCAUCCCCUAGACAACACAAGGUUAUACAAAUAGGGCCAGAAACAACACCAGGUUAUACAAAUAGGGCCAGAGACAACACCAGGUUAUACAAAUAGGGCCAGAGACAACACCAGGUUAUACAAAUAGGGCCAGAGACAACACCAGGUUAUACAAAUAGGGCCAGAGACAACACCAGGUUAUACAAAUAGGGCCAGAGACAACACCAGGUUAUACAAAUAGGGCCAGAGACAACACCAGGUUAUACAAAUAGGGCCAGAGACAACACCAGGUUAUACAAACAGGGCCAGAGACAACACCAGGUUAUACAAACAGGGCCAGAGACAACACCAGGUUAUACAAACAGGGCCAGAGACAACACCAGGUUAUACAAAUAGGGCCAGAGACAACACCAGGUUAUACAAACAGGGCCAGAGACGACACCAGGUUAUACAAAUAGGGCCAGAGACAACACCAGGUUAUACAAAUAGGGCCAGAGACAACACCAGGUUAUACAAAUAGGGCCAGAGACAACACCAGGUUAUACAAAUAGGGCUAGAGACAACACCAGGUUAUACAAAUAGGGCCAGAGACAACACCAGGUUAUACAAAUAGGGCCAGAGACAACACCAGGUUAUACAAAUAGGGCCAGAGACAACACCAGGUUAUACAAAUAGGGCCAGAGACAACACCAGGUUAUACAAAUAGGGCCAGAGACAACACCAGGUUACACAAAUAGGGCCAGAGACAACACCAGGUUAUACAAAUAGGGCCAGAGACAACACCAGGUUAUACAAAUAGGUUCAGAGACAACACCAGGUUAUACAAAUAGGGCCAGAGACAACACCAGGUUAUACAAACAGGGCCAGAGACAACACCAGGUUAUACAAACAGGGCCAGAGACAACACCAGGUUAUACAAAUAGGGCCAGAGACAACACCAGGUUAUACAAAUAGGGCCAGAGACAACACCAGGUUAUACAAAGAGGGCCAGAGACAACACCAGGUUAUACAAAUAGGGCCAGAGACAACACCAGGUUACACAAAUAGGGCCAGAGACAACACCAGGUUACACAAAUAGGGCCAGAGACAACACCAGGUUACACAAAUAGGGCCAGAGACAACACCAGGUUAUACAAAUAGGGCCAGAGACAACACCAGGUUACACAAAUAGGGCCAGAGACAACACCAGGUUACACAAAUAGGGCCAGAGACAACACCAGGUUACACAAAUAGGGCCAGAGACAACACCAGGUUAUACAAAUAGGGCCAGAGACAACACCAGGUUAUACAAAUAGGGCCAGAGACAACACCAGGUUAUACAAAUAGGGCCAGAGACAACACCAGGUUAUACAAAUAGGGCCAGAGACAACACCAGGUUAUACAAAUAGGGCCAGAGACAACACCAGGUUAUACAAACAGGGCCAGAGACAACACCAGGUUAUACAAAUAGGGCCAGAGACAACACCAGGUUAUACAAAUAGGGCCAGAGACGACACCAGGUUAUACAAACAGGGCCAGAGACGACACCAGGUUAUACAAAUAGGGCCAGAGACAACACCAGGUUAUACAAAUAGGGCCAGAGACAACACCAGGUUAUACAAAUAGGGCCAGAGACAACACCAGGUUAUACAAAUAGGGCCAGAGACAACACCAGGUUAUACAAAUAGGGCCAGAGACAACACCAGGUUAUACAAAUAGGGCCAGAGACAACACCAGGUUAUACAAAUAGGGCCAGAGACAACACCAGGUUAUACAAAUAGGGCCAGAGACAACACCAGGUUAUACAAAUAGGGCCAGAGACAACACCAGGUUAUACAAAUAGGGCCAGAGACAACACCAGGUUACACAAAUAGGGCCAGAGACAACACCAGGUUAUACAAAUAGGGCCAGAGACAACAUCAGGUUAUACAAAUAGGGCCAGAGACAACACCAGGUUAUACAAAUAGGGCCAGAGACAACACCAGGUUAUACAAAUAGGGCCAGAGACAACACCAGGUUAUACAAAUAGGGCUGUAAACAACACCAGGUUAUACAAAUAGGGCUGUAAACAACACCAGGUUAUACAAAUAGGGCUGUAAACAACACCAGGUUAUACAAAAAACACAUAUGAUACUAACGUUCCUCUGUUUU